rnacentral:tRNA from 1 species
GCCCUGGUAGCUCAGUGGAUAGAGCGCCGCGCUACGGACGCGGAGGUCGGGGGUUCGAUCCCCUCUCGGGGUG